GACUCCUACGGGAGGCAGCAGUGGGGAAUCUUGCACAAUGGGGGCAACUCCUGAUCCAGCCACGCCGCGUGAGUGAAGAAGGCCUUCGGGUUGUAAAGCUCUGUCGGCCGGGAAGAACUAGUAGGGUUAAUCUCCCUGCGCGCCAGACGGUACCGGCCUAGAAGCCCGGCAAUC
rnacentral:rRNA from 1 species